CUGGUACUUCAGGUAUAAACGUUGACUUGUACUUCAGGUAUAAACGUUGACUUGUACUUCAGGUAUAAACGUUGACUUGUACUUCAGGUAUAAACAUUGACUUGUACUUCAGGUGCUAACAGGCAUGACCUCAAGAUGACAGGUCAUCAUAAAUCCCAGACAAAUCAACUUGCAACGGUAUAGCUCAAUGUCUGAGGUCAGAGGCAGUCUGGCGUUUUGUAGAUGGCACUUCUCUGGAUCAGAGGUCAGGUGCAGCCAAUUGUUCAGUUGUUGGUUAAUUUGUUCUGGGGAAAGAAUGAGAGAAGGUAAACAUAAGUGAGCUUGCUAAACAUUUUGCUUACAAAAUGGGGUCACCACCCGAAACACUUCUGUUGAUUUGUAGGAGUUGAGUCGGAGGGACCUCUCAAGGGGCUAGAGCUGAGUUGACGGUCCUGGCUUAGAAAGGUCAACGGUGGAAAACUGUCUUGUGGACUGACGAAUCCAAAUGUUAAAUUAUUUUUGGGAAUCAUGGACGCCGCGUCCUCCAGAAUAUAGAGGAGAGGGACCAUCCACUGUUCAAAAGCAAGCAUCCAUGGUGGUAUGGGGGUGCAUUAGUGCACAUGGUAUGGAUGGGUGACUUGCACUUCAGUGAAAGGCACCAUUAAUCCUGAACAAUACAGUGCCCUCCACAAUUAUUGCUACCCCUAGUAAAGAUGAAUAAAAAAGGGUUAUAAAACCUAUUUGUUAAUUAGCUUAAUGUCACAUUGAAAGAAAUGAGAAACAUCCAACCCUUAAUUGAAGUACAUUUAUUAAGGGAAAAAAAAUAUAAAAAAAUAUUUAUUUCUAACAAAAUCUCAUUUGCAACAACUAUUGGUACCCUGUGAUGGUAAUUCCAUCGAUACGAACUCUUAAUGGAAGUAAGUACAGAGAUACAAUUCUCUUGGCACAAUUAGCAGUUUAUUAAUAUUUGCAAAUAGUGAGAAGCACCAAAAGCCUACAAAAUAAACCUGUGAAGCAUCUCCCAAGUAACACAGAACGAGCAUCAGUACUUAUACAGGUAAAAGGGGUAUGGUAAGAUACUGCACAGCUUCCCUUUGUUCAAUCUAUAUCUAGGUUUUAACCAAGGGGCAGGAUGUCCCCCUACAUUAAACCAAGGACCUAAGGACACUGUAGGUAACCUUUUCAACUUCAGAAUGGACACACAUCAUUUGGGCAAACUGAUGGUUUUGACAGAUCGAUGGAGGACCCAAUGAUCUACUGAUACCAUUCAAAUGGUCUCAGAUCUCCAACAGGUGUCACUCAGCUUUCAUCCAACCAAACAGAUCUCCAACAGGUGUCACCCAGCUUUCAUCCAGCAAAACAGAUCUCCAACAGGUGUUGCCCAUCUUCCUGACGGUCCUCCCAGCUCCGCCCAUACUCUCCUAGAAGGAAACAACGGACAGCCACAGGCUAAACAGGAGGGCUGUCACAGAGCUCAUCAAUGAGUUUCCCAUGAAGAAUCCCCCAGUUUGCUGGAUCUAAUUCCCAAGCAGACAAGGAAAUGGCCCUAAUGUUGAACUCUGAUUCCAUCCUUCCACACCUGUUCUAAUGGGAUCAGCUACAUAACUCUCAUGGGAUAAGCUACACAACACACCUGUUCUAAUGGGAUCAGCAAGACAAUACACCUAUUCUCAAGGGAUCAGCUACACAACACACCUGUUCUAAUGGGAUCAGCUAGACAAUACACCUAUUCUCAAGGGAUCAGCUACACAACACACCUAUUCUCAUGGGAUCAGCUACACAACACACCUGUUCUCAUGGAAUCAGCCACACAACACACCUGUUCUCAUGGAAUCAGCUAGACAACACACCUGUUCUAAUGGGAUCAGCUAGACAACACACCUGUUCUAAUGGGAUCAGCUAGACAACACACCUGUUCUAAUGGGAUCAGCUAGACAACACACCUGUUCUAAUGGGAUCAGCUAGACAACACACCUUUUCUAAUGGGAUUUAAUUUAGAACUGACAAAGCAAUGGAGUGAUUACUGUACCUGGGAACAUCCCUGCCAACUAAAUCAAAAUAAAUAAAAUAUGAGAGUAAAAUGUAAAUUGUCUGUGUGUGUUUGCGCUCACCAGACAGUACAGAUAUGUCACAGUGGAAGAUCCACAGCCAGCUCUCUGAUGCUAUAGGCUUUCACUGGCACAGCCAUGAACACACAACCAGACACACUGAACACAAACACACACAACCAGACACACUGAACACACACACACACAACCAGACAAACAGACACACUGAACACAAACACACACAACCAGACACACUGAACACAAACACACACAACCAGACACACUGAACACACACACACACACACACACACAACCAGACAACCAGAC
ensembl:lncRNA